rnacentral:rRNA from 1 species
CGAGCGGCGGACGGGUGAGUAACACGUGGAUAACCUGCCCAAGAGACUGGGAUAACACCUGGAAACAGACGCUAAUACCGGAUAACAACACUAGACGCAUGUCUAGAGUUUGAAAGAUGGUUCUGCUAUCACUCUUGGAUGGACCUGCGGUGCAUUAGCUAGUUGGUAAGGUAACGGCUUACCAAGGCAAUGAUGCAUAGCCGAGUUGAGAGACUGAUCGGCCACAUUGGGACUGAGACACGGCCCAAACUCCUACGGGAGGCAGCAGUAGGGAAUCUUCCACAAUGGACGAAAGUCUGAUGGAGCAACGCCGCGUGAGUGAAGAAGGGUUUCGGCUCGUAAAGCUCUGUUGGUAGUGAAGAAAGAUAGAGGUAGUAACUGGCCUUUAUUUGACGGUAAUUACUUAGAAAGUCACGGCUAACUACGUGCCAGCAGCCGCGGUAAUACGUAGGUGGCAAGCGUUGUCCGGAUUUAUUGGGCGUAAAGCGAGUGCAGGCGGUUCAAUAAGUCUGAUGUGAAAGCCUUCGGCUCAACCGGAGAAUUGCAUCAGAAACUGUUGAACUUGAGUGCAGAAGAGGAGAGCGGAACUCCAUGUGUAGCGGUGGAAUGCGUAGAUAUAUGGAAGAACACCAGUGGCGAAGGCGGCUCUCUGGUCUGCAACUGACGCUGAGGCUCGAAAGCAUGGGUAGCGAACAGGAUUAGAUACCCUGGUAGUCCAUGCCGUAAACG